GAUGAACGCUGGCGGCGUGCCUAAUACAUGCAAGUCGAGCGAACAGACGAGGAGCUUGCUCCUCUGACGUUAGCGGCGGACGGGUGAGUAACACGUGGAUAACCUACCUAUAAGACUGGGAUAACUUCGGGAAACCGGAGCUAAUACCGGAUAAUAUAUUGAACCGCAUGGUUCAAUAGUGAAAGACGGUUUUGCUGUCACUUAUAGAUGGAUCCGCGCCGCAUUAGCUAGUUGGUAAGGUAACGGCUUACCAAGGCAACGAUGCGUAGCCGACCUGAGAGGACGAUCGGCCACACGGGAGCGGAGACACGGACCAACCGCCGACGGGAGACAGCGGUAGGAAACCUUCGGGAGGGGGCGAAGGCGUAUCGGAGAAACGCGGCGUAAGUGAGAAAGGUCUACGCAUCGUAAAACAUGAAGAUUAGAGAGUAAUAAAGGUGUAAUUAACGAGACGCGUCUGAACGGAACGGAAGAAGAAGGCCAGGCUAACUUCGUG
rnacentral:rRNA from 1 species